rnacentral:rRNA from 1 species
GAUGAACGCUGGCGGUAUGCUUAACACAUGCAAGUCGAACGGACUCUUCGGAGUUAGUGGCGGACGGGUGAGUAACGCGUGAGAAUCUGGCUUUGGGUUCGGGACAACCACUGGAAACGGUGGCUAAUACCGGAUGUGCCGAGAGGUAAAAGAGAAAUUGCCUGAAGAUGAGCUCGCGUCUGAUUAGCUAGUUGGUGAGGUAAAGGCUCACCAAGGCAGCGAUCAGCAGCUGGUCUGAGAGGAUGACCAGCCACACUGGGACUGAGACACGGCCCAGACUCCUACGGGAGGCAGCAGUGGGGAAUUUUCCGCAAUGGGCGAAAGCCUGACGGAGCAAUACCGCGUGAGGGAAGAAGGCUCUUGGGUUGUAAACCUCUUUUCUUAGGGAAGAACAAAAUGACGGUACCUAAGGAAUCAGCAUCGGCCAACUCCGUG